rnacentral:tRNA from 1 species
GCAUCCAUAGCUCAGCUGGAGAGAGUACUCGGCUACGAACCGAGCGGUCGGAGGUUCGAAUCCUCCUGGAUGCACCA